UUAGAAAGAAAAAUAAUUAUGAGUUUGAUGGCACAAAAAUCGUCUCUAGUGUUGUAGUUUCUCAAGUUCGAAUACUAAUUGGAAGCCAAAAUAAAUUAAAAAAAAAAAAAUCAGGAGUCGCAUACCUCAAGAAUUUGAAUUGCCGGCAAGCUCAAGCUGAAGAGAACAACACUACGCAUUUCUCUCCAUCUUUCAUUCAUGUUUAUCAACACAUCCUUAGGCUAAACAUUUGAAGCAAAAAAUCAGAACAAUGUUUGUUACCUUAGAUUAGAGACAAUAACAUAAACAGUACAUACACGAGUGGCAGUUGCCAAAUGCAAAUGUGGAUAACUCUUAUCGUCGCCCCUUUGACUUUGAAUCAAAAUGAUGCUUCUUCAACUUCUUCUUGCGUGGCAGAACAGUAGUACCACUACUUUCUCUGAACGGCGUACCCAUGAGAGCCAACAGCCUCUGGCCUUCUUGAUCAGUUUUAGCGUUGGUUACUAUACAAACAUCCAUUCCCCUUGGCUUACCAAGUGCAUCAUACUGAAUUUCAGGGAACACACUCUGCUCACGAAUUCCAAUGCUGUAAUUCCCAUGUCCAUCAAAGCUGUUUGGGUUUACACCUUGGAAGUCCCUUGUCCUAGGAAGCCCUAGAUUAAUAAGUCGAUCUAAGAAAGAGUACAUCACAUUUCCUCUGAGUGUGACAGCAAUGCCCAACGGUUGACCUUCCCUGAUCUUGAAGGUAGCAAUAGAGUUCCUUGCUCUUGUCUUGAUAGGUCUUUGGCCUGUAAUGAGAGCCAAAUCAUUCAUUGCAGCUUCCAAACCCUUGGCAUUCUGAGCAGCAUCUCCAAUGCCACAGUUCACCACAACCUUCUCAAUUUUCGGAACCUGGAGAAUGUUAGUGUACGAGAACUCUUCCAUGAGCAAGGGAACGAUCUUUUCAAGGUAAGUGGUCUUUAGGCGAUUGGCCUUUUCAGCUUCUGAUUUCUCCACCAACACAACACCGCCAGUGGCCCUCACAGACACCACCCAAUUGCCAUUUUUAGGGUUUCCGUAAGGUACUCUAGCGGACAACGGAGGUGAAAGAAUUGGGAAUUGACCACGAAGCGACGCAGCUGCGGACUGUAAAAGCGAAGGGGACGCCAUUGGAUCCGUGUUUGUUGUCUGUG
rnacentral:misc_RNA from 1 species